UCCAUUCAUCCCCAUUUCCUGUUCCCAUUAGCUGGAAUGAGAAUGUCAGAGUGAGCUGUCCUGGACGGAGCAUGUGGCUGGCAGGGCUUUGACUCCCAGGUAUGAAAAAGGCACUCACUUCUAGAUCUUGAGCAUUGACACCACUCAAAGCCUUGUCCUCAGACCCAGAGAAGGUGACAAUCAAAAUGAACUGCUUUUGUGAGACACAGGGCCAGAAAUUACAACCAUUCAGUUCCUCUGAGCCCAGAGACUAUAGCAGAAGAGGUGGACUCAUGAGAUGAGCUUUGACUAAAAUGGCCUUGUGAGAGGUUCCAGUAAAGCCAAUUUAGGAGAACCUACAUGGACAAUGAUUCUUGCUGCAUUUAGUGUGGAUAAUCAAGCCAAGUAUGUGGGACUGAAGCCUGUUUUGCAGGUGGGUUCAUCUUGCUGUGAUUUAUCUUUGGUGGAAGCAGGGGACUAGACAGAGAAAGAUUGCAUUUUAGAAGAAAACUGUAGUAUUAGAUUAACCUUUGAUUCUUAGGUGGCCACAUGGUCACCCCUGGUAUGGAGCUGCCCACAGCACCCCUCCUCAGCAUGAAGCAGCCAGAAAGAUCAUCAGCCAGAUUUCCAGUGAUCGAAGACUUGAUAAAUAGAAAAGGGGAAUUGAAGCCAAUCCAAUAGCUCCAUGGACAGUUUUUUUCUGAUAAACAUAGAAACUGACCCUCUGGUUUUAAAGCUUGAAAUGUACCAGAUUCAGACAAUGAGAUACCAGGCCUCUCAAAAUGUAUCAAAGAACUGAAACUCACCAGAUUAUCACAUCCACAGAAUGAAAUGCCACGCCCCUCAUUCAUCAUGAUUGCUUCCUUACCCUUUCCGAGUUCCUAUUUUCCCAUCGUAGUUACAUUUCUUGCCUACUAUAUAAACCCUUAAUUUUAGUUGGUCAGGAAGAUGGAUUUGUGACUGAUUUCCCAUCUUCUUGGCUGCAGCACCUGAUUAAAGCCUUCUUCCUUGGCAAUAAUUGUUGUCUCAGUGAUUGGCUUUCUAUGCGGUGAGCAGCAGGACCUAUACUGAACCCCUGG
rnacentral:lncRNA from 1 species